AUUGAACGCUGGCGGCAUGCUUUACACAUGCAAGUCGGACGAGUGGCGAACGGGUGAGUAAUAUAUCGGAACGUACCGAGUAAUGGGGGAUAACUAAUCGAAAGAUUAGCUAAUACCGCAUAUUAUUCGAGCGGCCGAUAUCUGAUUGGCUAGUUGGUGGGGUAAAGGCCUACCAAGGCGACGAUCAGUCGCGGGUCUGAGAGGAUGAUCCGCCACACUGGGACUGAGACACGGCCCAGACUCAUACGGGAGGCAGGAGUGGGGAAUUUUUGACAAUGGGCGCAAGCCUGAUACAGCCAUGCCGCGUGUCUGAAGAAGGGCUUCGGGUUGUAAAGGACUUUUGGUAGGGAAGCGGUACCUAACGAAUAAGAACCGGCUAACUCCGUGCCAGCAGCCGCGGUAAUUC
rnacentral:rRNA from 1 species